rnacentral:rRNA from 1 species
CUCGUAGGCGGUUUGGCAAGUCGGAUGUGAAACCUCCAGGCUUAACCUGGAGACGCCAUUCGAUACUGCUAUGACUUGAGUUCGGUAGGGGGCGCAUGGAAUACCCGGUGUAGCGGUGAAAUGCUUAGAUACCGGGUGGAACACCAGUGGCGAAGGCGGUGCGCUGGGCCGAAACUGACGCUGAUGAGCGAAAGCGUGGGUAGCAAACA